CCCUAGAAAAGGCAAAAAAAAAAAAAAAAAGAUGUGAUGAAAAAGUCACAGGCAGAAAAACAGCCCAGGUACUAUGAGAUUAUUACCAUAAGGAGUAGUGAUCACUACCAUCUCUUCAUAAGGAGAUGUAUAAAAAGGAGAUGUGAAGGAAAGAAUGGCUGAUUACAGUUAGAAGGGCUGAGGAUGGCUUCUCAAAAACGACAUAUGAAGCAGCUAGUGGUGAACUGAGAGCCAGCCAGAGCUUAAGCCUGGCUAACCCUCCCACAGUAAGGUGGUGUCACACAUCAGAAGGGUGGUGGGGUCCGAUGGGGAAGCCUUGUGUGUCGUGCCUAGGAUUUUGAACUUGAGCCCCUAAUCAGCAGGAAGUCAUUCAGGGCUUUUAAAGUAGGAAGAGAAGUGAUGGGGUCUGAUGUUGAAAGAUGGCAUUGGAUAGAAAGCCAAAAAGACUAGGGAGGAAGAUGCCAGUUGAGACUCAGUCUUAGGGCAGAGACAGGAGGACCUGGAUGAAAGCACAGGCUGAAGAGAAAGUUCGGUAGUUGAAUUCCCUCAUUCGAGACACACUGCUAAGAUGGGGUACCAGUUCUUAGUGGAAUGCUGCUUAUGGGAGGGAAGAAAAGGAGGUGUUGAAUGGACAGACUCCCAGCCUAGGAGAUGGUGCCAGGCUAUGUCACCCCCAGAGACAAGAGGCACAGACCGUGGAGAGCCCUGGGGGAGGAAGACAGAACGCACACCUGUGGAGCCUACAGAACAUCCAAGGGAGCUGCCAGCUAGGAUGAUGAAGACAGAGGCCUGGAGCUGAAGGAAAGGUCGGUAUGGGGAGGCUCAGCCCAGCCUCCUCUCAGGCUAUGGAACCUGCUCUUCCUAGGAUGCGGCAAAAGCAUUCAAGGUAUGUGGAGCUUAGGCUGAAAAGGAAGCUAUACCAUUAAGCAAGUCUUUUCUGUAUUCUGAAAUUCUGACCCCCAGGGCCUCGCCCACCCUGGCGGAAUGCCCCUCCCAGCAUCAGCCAGCUAGUCCCCAGAGAGAGUCAACAACCUAAGUGUGACUGUGCUUCUCAACUGCAAACCAGUGAAUCCAGAGCCCACACCCCCAACCACCUGCUUUAUCAAGCUCUCACACUCCAGGCUGCAGUCCAUCUACCCUAAUCAUGCCAGGGCCACGCUCCAGACAACGUGGGGACUGUCUUUAUGCCCCCGAGUCCAUGGAAACUAUCCAAACUGGCCCAUCCUAUGCCUUCUCCCCUGCCUUGCCUGUACCUCCCGCAAAAACCACAAUGCAGGUUCCUACUCACACUUUCCUCUCCCGCUGGCCCCUGGCCACACAGGUGUUUCCCUGGGCAGCCCCCCCCCCCCAUGGCAUGGUGUGCCCCUUCCUCUAAGGAACUGUAAUACACUUUUUUUUCCCCACAGCAGUCAUUUCCUGAUCUGUCGGCCUUAGUGUAUCUCUGAUUUUCCACUCCCACACUAUACAAAGUCUGUCCAGGCACUGGGCAUUUUCAACCUCAAUAUGAAUGAUCCCACUCAUGUCCUCUUUGUUCCAGAAAGACGGGUUAGAGACUGAUGUUUACUCAGAGACUGCAGGUGGCCUCAUAAAUAGAUCAUCAUGUACUUCACCUUGACCGCUUUGUGGUGGUGGAUGUGAAGGUGAAGCAACAUUCUCUCCUAUACACGCGUUUACCUGCCUUGUGUAGACACCUCAACCAAUGAGCUAUGCAAUCCUAGUCCCACCGUGCCACAGACAUGUAGCACCACAAGAGAGAUGGCAACCGUCAGGAAAUAAAAAUGAUACAUUUCCAUUUCCUGUAUGUUCAAGGACCAGUCCAUUAAGAAACCACAUGGAAGAAUAUGGGUUGCAUUCCAGUAUGUCUUAAGCUGAACUCCUUCUGUGUGGAGGAAUGAAGAACCUGAACCUCAGUGAGUCCAGACAUCAGAUACACCUUUUCCUGCAAGGAGGUACACAGCUGGCUUCCAAAUGAAGCCUCAGCACAAAGAAAAGAAAUAAACAUGAAAGUGUUUACACCCAUUAGAAUGUAUGAGACCCCCAAACAGGACUGGCUUCAUCAGGGGAAAGAGCCACCUCUGGGGGCAGCUCGGUCUGCUUGCUUGGCCAUGGUCUCAGUUCACCCCCAGUCCUGAGCUCUUGCCUGGAUAUCACACCGAGAUCCCACUACCUAUUAAACACUGUCACUUGGAUACCGACGUGCCCAAAAUCAAACUCUUGACUCCCACUGGCUCCACCCCCCACCAAGUUACUCCAUUUCCAGGUUUCCCUGUGUCUGUGAACGUCCACUCUGUUCUUCAGUCACUUUGGACAAAAAACAAACAAACAAACAAACAAACAAAAAUGGAGUCAUUUUUCCCUCCCCUUUUCUCUCACACCACACACUGAAUACAUCGCUGCAUCCUGUUCCAGCUUCAGACCCACUGGCAUCCUACCAUGUCAUCAGCUCCUUGGUCCUUGCCACCCCCUGCCCCCACAGUCCAUUCCCCACUGAAGCAGAGGGGCUCCCUCACAAUGCACAUCAGGUCACAUUACUCCUUGGCUCAGACCCUCCACCGCCUCCUCUGUCACUCACACAUCUACAGGGUCCUAUGUCAUUUCCUUUCUCCUACCCUGGCUUCACUGGCCUCCUUGCAGGGCAAACUCCUACCUCACGACCUCAUUCUAAUCACUGAGCUUCCCCAUCCCUGCUUUGUUCAGGCUCAGAUAUCAAAACCUCAAGAAGAACUUCCCUGACCCCCCUGUAUAAACAGCACCCCCACCUCCUGGUCACCCACUUUCUGUCCCCUCUUUUAUAUUUCUUAUGGUAUUUCUGUCCACCUAACAUGUAUUAAUUUAUGGCGUGUCUCCUCUACUAGAAUGUAAGCAUCACAAGUAUGGGGAUUCCUCUUGUUCACUGUGGGAUCCAAGCAAUGAAAGCAGUGCCGGGCCCAUAGCAGGUAUGAGAUGAUGGUGAAUAAGUGACUGGUCAUUUGAUGAGUCCAGAAAUUGACGGCAUUUACAAAGCGGCUUCUCAAGCUCUCUCAGGGAUGUGGUUCCAAAUCUGACACUAGUGGGGUGCACACUCAGGCCAUGAGGGCCACAGACUACCCCCUCUUCUUCCCAAGGGGACACAAAUGGCCAGCUGGGGCAAGUGUUCAAACUUCCCAGCCCAUCACUGUCUCCUCCAUAUGCCAGGCCUGGCACAGAAACUGGAAGCGCUCUGCUCCAGAAGCCACUCUGCUUUUCUGUUUUACCUGGUUCUUGCAUCUUUUACGAACUAAAGAGAAAGUCAUGUCAAAGUCAAGAUCCAUUUGGGGAGACUCCAAUGCCAACAUCUUGAAAUGUUUUCUAAAUUUGAAGAAUUACAAGACUUAGGGAAACCUGUUAAGUGUAGCUUAAAAAAAAACCCCGCCCUCUUCUAAAUUAUAGUUGGAAUGGGUUAGAGUGGGGGAAGGGGACUAGGGAAGUGGAGGUACUAUAAGUUAUUUAGUGCUCUGGGUAUGGGGUAGGAGGAAAUCAGAUCUAAGCACCCCCCCUUCUUUUCCCCAGUCUCAGAUAGUUUGUUCACACACAUGUGCUGAUCAGCACCCUGCUGGGUUUUCCAGAGAACCCUCUGGAGUUCUCUUUCCUCUCUAGUUCUCUGUCCUGCAAACACCAGUCACCCUGGGCCCCUUAAUUAGGAGGUAUGUCUCAGCUCCCUUCUCUGUACUACAGCCUGGGCACUCUCAAGGCACUAGGCUGGGGCAAACGGGACUCACUUCAUUUCAUUCCCGUAUCUCAUGAUCAUUGUCCUUUGUCACCUGAUGCUCAGGGCCUCAAAAAAAUCAUCAUAUAUUUUGUUCUUUCAUUUUUUUCCAGAUGCAAGAGUAAACACAGUCUCUUUUAUUCUAUCCUUAGCUGAAAGUGGAAGUGUGGUUAUAAGUUUUAAAGUACUUUUGAUACUGUGAAUAGAAUAAGUUUCUUUCGAAAUAGUAAGCCCAUCAUUGAGGUUAACAACAUAUGUUCUUCCAAAGACACUGAAUGAAAAGACAAGGUAAGAUGCAGAUUGAGAGGAAAGAAUGGCAAAGCAUACAUCCAAUAAAAGGGCUUGUAUCCAGAACAUGUAAAGAACUGUCAAAACUCAAUAAGAAGGAACUAACCAAUAAAAAAAAGGGGGAGGCAAAUGUCUGAACAGAUGUUUAUCCAAACUGUACCAAUGGUAAAUUAGCACAUGAAAACAUGCUCAACAUCAUUAAUCUUUAAGGAAAUGCAACCAAAACCAGAAUGAGAUACCACUUCACAUCUAUUAGAAUGUCUAAACAAAAAGGCUGAACGCAACAAGCAUUAGUGAGAAUAUAGAGGAACUGGAACUCUCAUUCACCACUGGUGGCAUUUCUU